GUGCCAGCAGCCGCGGUAAUACGGAGGGUGCAAGCGUUAAUCGGAAUUACUGGGCGUAAAGCGCACGCAGGCGGUCUGUCAAGACGGAUGUGAAAUCCCCGGGCUCAACCUGGGAACUGCAUUCGAAACUGGCAGGCUAGAGUCUUGUAGACCGGGGUAGAAUUCCAGGUGUAGCGGUGAAAUGCGUAGAGAUCUGGAGGAAUAGCGGUGGCGAAGGCGGCCCCCUGGACAGAUACUGACACUCAGAUGCGAAAGCGUGGGGAGCAAACAGGAUUAGAUACC
rnacentral:rRNA from 1 species